UACGAAGGGGGCUAGCGUUGUUCGGAAUUACUGGGCGUAAAGCGCGCGUAGGCGGGUUGUUAAGUCAGGGGUGAGAUCCCGGAGCUCAACUCCGGAACUGCCUCUGAUACUGGCAACCUUGAGUCCGGGAGAGGUGUAUGGAACUCCUAGUGUAGAGGUGAAAUUCGUAGAUAUUCGGAGGAACACCAGUGGCGAAGGCGGCUCACUGGCUCGAAACUGACGCUGAGGUGCGAAAGCGUGGGGAGCAAACAGG
rnacentral:misc_RNA from 1 species